rnacentral:tRNA from 2 species
ACGAGUUUAGUUAAGUGGUUAUAAUUUCUAGUUUCCACCUAGAGGUCACUGGUUCGAGUCCAGUAACUCGUA